UCUGUGUACCUGGCCGUGACCUGUGAAAAAUUAGUUUAGACUAAUUUUCACUGAAGCCAUCAGAACUAUGAACACGUGUGGAAGAAGUAACUCAGAACAUGUUUUAGAUUCUUCACCCUUUGCUUUGAUCGCUGCUCUGUGUCCUCUGGAUGAGCUCCAUGAUGGGUCAACUGAAGUGGUUUGUUCACAGUGAUGCUGAGCACUUGUUGGUCUCUGCGCUCCAUCUCAUCCAAACAGCUGAUUAUUGAAAGCUGACUGAAACUCUUCAUCACAGAAACAGCUGUAGUGACGGUUAGAGAUCUUCUUACGUAGGGAUUAAAUGAACUGCUCUGCAGUGGUGAUUGGUUCAUGUAAAUACAGAGUCUUCUUCACACACUGUCUCCAUGCUGGGACCAACUCUGUUUACACGUUUCACCUUAUUAUCAUCAUUCACAUCCUGCAGUUGGAGCCUCUCUGAGAGGAAGCCUGACCAUCGGUCCUGUCCACGCUUACAAAACCAAACAUGCUGACUUAUUUAUUAGCUGUCAGUCUGCUGGUGAUGUCAGUGAAUGGAACAAGAUGCCUUCUGGCCUAUAGAGAGGUUUACACAUGUGGGUCAAAUGUCCCCCAUUGUGAACCUUGUCAGUACUGUAAUGUGUAAGCCCUCGGGCCUCUGUGGCCUGGAGCCUGCGGCCUGUAUUGACCUGUUGGCAUCGCUGUUUGUUUUCUGUAGGAGUUGCUGUUGGAUGAGCUGGUGAUGGGCGUGGCCUUGCUCUUGUUGGAAGCCCCUUCAGAUCAGCUGACCAGCCUUCUCAGACUUGCACUGAGUUUGGUCCCUGAACAAGCGGAGGCGUCGCCCUGGUUGAGUCCGGUCCUGAUUCUCCCCGUGUUGCAGCUCCUGUCCUGCUUGGGUCUCACUGAGCCGCUGUCUGACCAGAACACACACAGCACCAACCACAGGCUGGCUCACAGCCUGCUGCGCAGCAUUGGCAGGCCCGCAGAUCAACCCCGGCAGGUAGCCCGGCAGGUAGCCCGGCAGGUAGCCCGGCAGGUAGCCCGGCAGGUAGCCCGGCAGGUAGCCCGGCAGGUAGCCCGGCAGGUAGCCCGGCAGGUAGCCCGGGCCUGCUUCUCACAUUCAGUUUUUGGAGUCUGGAGAACAAGUUCUUUCUUUGAGGUGUAGCCACGUUACAAUAGUGCAGGUAGGUGUUAGGUGGUAGGUAUUAGAGCAUUAGACCAUAGACGACAUCCAUCCAAAAAUACUGUUUCCCUCUCAGUGUCAUAGCAACAGGGCUUUACCAUUCUGUACCAUGGCCUCUUCUUCAGGGUCAGCAUCCAGUCUCUGGAGUGUUGUUCCUCUGGGAUGCUUUGCUUGAUCCUUAAAUUCCACUUCAUUAACAUUCAUGGUGCAUCUGUAGCUUUGCUCUUUGUUCUUUAUCAUUUGUUUCUCAUGAAUCUGUCUCCCUCAGCCUGCCCCAUCACUGCCUCUGUCUCUGAGUUCCUGGUAUAGUGAGCUCAGCGUGUCUUUGUCGGUACUGCGCAAAGUGGCCAACAAUCCAGCAGCAGCGACCGAUUGGCUGUUGGCGGUCAGCUCCGCCCUGUCGUCCAGCCAGCGCCUGUCCUCCUCUCUUGUCCUGAUUGUGACUUAUCUCAUCAUCACGGGUCAGGAAAACAUCUGCCAGCUGGCUUUGAAAGCAAGCCAGGCUGUCGCUGCUGCCGACCCCUGCCAGGUCCCGCCCCUCGUGCUGCUUCUUUUGUUCAAACUGACCAAAGAAAAGAAUCCCGUCCUGGCUCACGCUGUUCUCACAAGCCUGCCAAACCUCGGCACUCAUAAGGUACGCAGCACGACUAAGAAGAACCUGUACUGACUGUGAGCGUCUGGAGACGGGGCUGGAACAUAAGCAGCACCUUUCUACUUCAUCUGAGCGCUCACAGUGUGUUUUAGUCCAUCAUACACACAGAUGAGCUUUUAUCUGUGUGGGUCAUCCAGGUCAUGUAGUCUGAGGAGCUUUUCUUCAUCCAGGAGGCUUCUAGAGGUUAAAAACCAGUGACCCGCGUGUCCCAAAUACCAGCCUGUGAGCACAAUCCACCAAUAACAGUGAAUAACUGAAAUGUUCCCCUCUCCAUGUUUAGCACUUUGACAAAGGAACAAAGAGAAAUUCCCGCGUCUUCCACACAGUUUUCUCUUUGUGAACACGGACAGUGUU